GAGACAGGGUUUUGCUAUGUUGGCCAGGCUGGUCUCGAACUCCUGACCUCAAGUGAUCCACCUGCCUCGACCUCUGGGAUUACAGAUGUGAGCCAUCGCACCUGUGCGUGAAGGUUUUCUAACCUUCUAUCAGAUUUUCUAACCUCCCUAAGCCACAGGAUGAGAAAAGAGAUCAUCAAGAUGCAGAGGCCGUGGCUGCGACGGAGGAAGGAAGCGGGGGAGCCACGGCAGGAGAGAGGAGAGAGAGAGGGAGCUCGGAGGAGGGGGCUGCCUCGCGGUGUUCAGGACACCUGUGCCCCGGUUACCUGUCUGUGCCCCCGUGAAGAGUUGUUACUGCUCAUCGGUUUGCUUCCGCCCUGCAGGAAUCAUGGUCCUUUCGUGUGGCAAGGUCACCAAGCAGCGUCACCACCC
rnacentral:lncRNA from 1 species